UGAGGAAUAUUGGUCAAUGGACGGAAGUCUGAACCAGCCAAGUAGCGUGCAGGAAGACGGCCCUAUGGGUUGUAAACUGCUUUUAUACGAGAAUAAUUUGAUGCACGUGUGCGUUAUUGCAUGUAUCGUAUGAAUAAGGACCGGCUAAUUCCGUGCCAGCAGCCGCGGUAAUACGGAAGGUCCAGGCGUUAUCCGGAUUUAUUGGGUUUAAAGGGAGUGUAGGCGGUUUGUUAAGCGUGUUGUGAAAUUUAGAUGCUCAACAUUUAACUUGCAGCGCGAACUGGCGAACUUGAGUGCACACAACGUAUGCGGAAUCCAUGGUGUAGCGGUGAAAUGCUUAGAUAUCAUGAAGAACUCCGAUUGCGAAGGCAGCAUACGGGAGUGUAACUGACGCUUAAGCUCGAAGGUGCGGGUAUCGAACAGGAUUAGAUACCCUGGUAGUCCGCACAGUAAACGAUGGAUGCCCGCUGUUAGCGCCUGGCGUUAGCGGCUAAGCGAAAGCAUUAAGCAUCCCACCUGGGGAGUACGCCGGCAACGGUG
rnacentral:rRNA from 1 species